CAGUAUUUAACUCAAGUGAAUACCUGGAAUAGAGAAAUAGGACAGGAGAAGAAAAUGAUCAGGUGUAGCAAAGCAACAAUAGCAAACAACAACAGCAGGAGCAAAUUGAACACCCAGGGACAGAUUUUAAAACCAACAGAGAUGAUUCCACGUCCAAUAAACAGAUUCAAUAAUUUUCAACAGCAACACCAAUAUCAGAAACCCAAACAGUAACCCAAGAAUUCAAUCCGAAAUCAGCAGUGCCAAAUGCAAACCACAUAAGCAGUAAUAGUGUUAUGAUUUUUAGCAGUAAAUAAAGACUUCAAUUUCAGUUUUUAAUUCUCAAAGACUAAAUCUGAAAUUUUUACUCUAGUUGAAAAUAUUCUUUCUCUCUAAAUUUUUUUCCUUUUAAGUGACAAAUGACUUUUAAUUAUAACCAACACAAGACUCUUUCUACCCUCCCUUUAAUUAUUAUCCCUACUCCUUUUAUGAUUACCCCCCUUUUAUUAUUACCCCACUCUUUUCUUUUACUUUUCAGCUUUUAUUAUUCAAGUAAAAAGUAGUCAAACAUUGACCCCCACAGUCCAUCCUCUUUUUACUUUACAUCAUUAUGCUCCCCACAUGUCUUGUCCCAUCUUUUUACUUUACAUAAUUAUGUUCUCCACUAUAUUUUAAACAAUUCCUUAUAUUUUCAAUUCCCAUAUUACCCUUGAAACUACUGAAAGUACUGUCAUAAAAAAAUCUGUUCAAACUUUCAAAAAUUAUCGAAGAACUAAAAUUGGAUUACCAGCUAUAACCAAUUCCUAAUCAAAUUCCAUCAACAAAUUCAUGAAAAUAGAUGGAAUCUUACAACAUCAUAUCAAAGGGAAUAAGCAGACAUUUAGAAAAAAUGAAUGCGCUAGGAGAACACCAAAAUGGUGAAUAACAAGAAAAAACUAAAACAGUACGAUGCAAAAACAUAAUAGGGAGUGAAUCUUAUCAACAUUAUAAAUCAAAACUAUACAAAAUGUAUGCUUAGUGACAGUGAGUUAAAUGACUAAGGAUUAACACAUAACACAUUUGACAUCAAACCAUUUGAAGAAAAACACAAACUACAAACAUGAACGGACUUAUCGACGAAUUUAUUUAAACGACUCAAUAAUUAUAACCCGUGACAGUCAAAUAAACGAUGAACAAAAAUUGAAAUACAACUAAAUAAAACAAAUACCAAUAUCAAAAUAGAACAAAAGGAGAGGAAAAAUACCUCAUAAAAUUCGACACAAGACAAACUCAACUCGAAUUCAGACCCAAAAUUUCAAGGUUAAACGGACUAAUUCUGAAGACAAAAAGACGAAGCAGAAUCUGGUCGUUCAUGGUGGUCGUCGUCACAACCAGAUUGGAACAAAAGGGCGUCGUUUUGGGUGUUUCACGGAGGAAGUUUAGGUCGUUCAGGAAGUGAAGAUGGUGACUGGUGGACGUGAAUGAGAAAGAAAGGGAAACACCAGCUAUGGCCGCCCCUGGCGGGCAGGUGAACAAUGCAGGUGGUUGACGGACAGCCGACCGGAGCCGGCUGGUUCGCUAGCUGGUCGUGAUUAGGUGGUUCAGCAGCGUGAGAGAGCUGGCUGACACUGGAACAAAGAAGAAAAUGCAGCGUAGGCAGUUUAGGGUGGUUUUCGUUCAAGCUGCCAUUGAUGGAGUUCAGGGGUGGCGUUUGGACGGAGAAGAACGUAGGGGGCAGUGGGGUGGUCGUUACUAUAGACGACGAGGGAGAAGACGUUUGGAGGGUGGUGGGGUGUGAGGAAGAAGAGAAGAGAGGGGAAGGGCAGCCAUGGAUUUGGGUGUUAUUAGGGUUAGGGAGGGUUUUUUGGAGAAGAUGAGUAAAAAGGGGGGUGCGUGCUUAAGUG
rnacentral:lncRNA from 1 species